GAUGAACGCUGGCGGCGUGCCUAAUACAUGCAAGUCGAGCGAACAGAUGAGGAGCUUGCUCCUCUGACGUUAGCGGCGGACGGGUGAGUAACACGUGGAUAACCUUCCUAUAAGACUGGGAUAACUUCGGGAAACCGGAGCUAAUACCGGAUAAUAUAUUGAACCGCAUGGUUCAAUAGUGAAAGACGGUUUUGCUGUCACUUAUAGAUGGAUCCGCGCCGCAUUAGCUAGUUGGUAAGGUAACGGCUUACCAAGGCGACGAUGCGUAGCCGACCUGAGAGGGUGAUCGGCCACACUGGAACUGAGACACGGUCCAGACUCCUACGGGAGGCAGCAGUAGGGAAUCUUCCGCAAUGGGCGAAAGCUUGACGGAGCAACGCCGCGUGAGUGAUGAAGGUCUUCGGAUCGUAAAACUCUGUUAUUAGGGAAGAACAAAUGUGUAAGUAACUAUGCACGUCUUGACGGUACCUAAUCAGAAAGCCACGGCUAACUACGUG
rnacentral:rRNA from 1 species